CCUACGGGUGGCAGCAGUGAGGAAUAUUGGUCAAUGGGCGCGAGCCUGAACCAGCCAAGUCGCGUGAGGGAAGACGGUCCUAUGGAUUGUAAACCUCUUUUGUCGGGGAGCAAAAGACGCCACUCGUGGCGUUCCGAGAGUACCCGACGAAAAAGCAUCGGCUAACCCCGUGCCACCAGCCGCGGUAAUACGGAGGAUGCGGGCGUUAUCCGGAUUUAUUGGGUUGAACGGGUGCGCAGGCGGAAGAUCAAGGCAGCGGUAAAGUUGAGGGGCUCAACCUCUUCGAGCCGUUGAAACUGGUUGUCUGGAGUGAGUGAGAAGUAGGCGGAAUGCGUGGUGUAGCAGUGAAAUGCAUAGAGAUCACGAAGAACUCCGAUUGCGAAGGCAGCAUACCGGCGCUCAACUGACGCUCAUGCACGAAAGUGUGGGUAUCGAACAGGAUUAGAUACCCCAGUAGUC
rnacentral:rRNA from 1 species